UAGUGAGUUUGAUCCUGGCUCAGGGUGAACGCUGGCGGCGUGCUUAAGACAUGCAAGUCGAACGGCAGUCUUCGGACUGUAGUGGCGCACGGGUGAGUAACGCGUAACUGACCUACCCCAAAGUCGCGGAUAACGGUUCGAAAGAAUCGCUAAUACGUGAUGUGCUGCUCCCUCCUGUGGAUCAGUAAAGGUUUACUGCUUUGGGAUGGGGUUGCGUUCCAUCAGCUAGUUGGUAGGGUAAAGGCCUACCAAGGCGACGACGGAUAGCCGGUCU
rnacentral:rRNA from 1 species